rnacentral:lncRNA from 1 species
ACUCUGCCUUAAAGCAUCAACCAAAGAAAAGUCACACGAUGGGUUGUGCUUCUGUUUAAGUGCUUUAAUUGCAGUGGCUGGCUGUGUGGUAACUGUUGAGCGAUGGCCUGAACCACUGAUUGAGCACCUGGGGAAAGGACCUGGUCAGCCCUGGGAGCACAGGUGAAGGCAAUUCAGCUGUGUGACUGGAAGGGGUGGAGCCUGGCUGCACCUCUCAGACCCCCCAUUUAAGGGCUGACUGCCACCAAGGUGUAGUUUUUCCCUGUAAACCUGGUGUCUUCUGGUACAGGUGAGGAAUCUUUUUCUUUUAUAGCACUUUUCUUUUGUGCUAGUUCUUCCAUUGUCCCACCUCUGUUGUAACUCUUUUCUUGUUCGUCUAAUUGUUAUAUUGGCUUUUGGGCGGUGGAGUUGAA